rnacentral:rRNA from 1 species
UGAAAAAUUAGGGGAUGAGCUGUGGAUCGGAGUGAAAGGCUAAUCAAGCCCGGAGAUAGCUGGUUCUCCUCGAAAGCUAUUUAGGUAGCGCCUCAUGUCUCACCACUGGGGGUAGAGCACUGUUUCGGCUAGGGGGUCAUACCGACCUACCAACCCGAUGCAAACUCCGAAUACCAGUGAGUGCAAUCAUGGGAGACACACGGCGGGUGCUAACGUUCGUCGUGGAGAGGGAAACAACCCAGACCGCCAGCUAAGGUCCCAAAUAUCAGUUAAGUGGGAAACGAUGUGGGAAGGCUCAGACAGCUAGGAAGUUGGCUUAGAAGCAGCCAUCUUUUAAAGAAAGCGUAAUAGCUCACUAGUCGAGUCGGCCUGCGCGGAAGAUUUAACGGGGCUAAACUGAUAACCGAAGCUGCGGACGCAUACUUGUAUGCGUGGUAGAGGAGCGUUCUGUAAGCCGUUGAAGGUGCAUUGUAAAGUGUGCUGGAGGUAUCAGAAGUGCGAAUGCUGACGUGAGUAACGAUAAAGCGGGUGAAAAACCCGCUCGCCGGAAGAUCAAGGUUUCCUGUCCAACGCUAAUCGGGACAGGGUUAGUCGGUACCUAAGGCGAGGCCGAAAGGCGUAGUCGAUGGAAAACAGGUUAAUAUUCCUGUACCGCUAUAUACUGCGAUGGGGGGACGGAGAAGGCUAGGUGAUCAGGGCGAUGGUUGUCCCUGUACAAGCUUGUAGGGAGAUCUCUUAGGUAAAUCCGGGAGAUCAUUAUCCUGAGGAGUGAUGUCGAGCUCAAUUGCGAGCGAAGUCAUUGAUGCCAUGCUUCCAAGAAAAGCCUCUAAGCUUCAGGUAUAUAGAGACCGUACUCCAAACCGACACAGGUGAUCAGGUAGAGAAUACCAAGGCGCUUGAGAGAACUAUGGUGAAGGAACUAGGCAAAAUGGUGCCGUAACUUCGGGAGAAGGCACGCCGAUUUUGGUGAUGGGAUUUACUCCCUAAGCUGAGGUUGGCCGCAGAGACCAGGCCCCUGCGACUGUUUAUCUAAAACACAGCACUCUGCAAACUCGUAAGAGGAAGUAUAGGGUGUGACGCCUGCCCGGUGCCGGAAGGUUAAUUGAUGGGGUUAGCGUAAGCGAAGCUCUUGAUCGAAGCCCCGGUAAACGGCGGCCGUAACUAUAACGGUCCUAAGGUAGCGAAAUUCCUUGUCGGGU